UGAGUUUUGUUUUUGUUUGUUUGCCAACUUCGAAUAAUUAAAAACACAUCGCCCAGGUGAUGAAGCACGAACACCAGAUGGUAAAAACAAAAUGACAGUAAACGCUAUAUAUUGACUGAGCUUCGCCUUGUCUCUCACAUUCUGCUUAAAGACCUACCGCCAUGCUGAUGUUCGUUUUCUUCUGCUGCCUCCUCCUCUCGUUUGGAAGUGAGAGCACUUGGCAUCAACCGACGUGUAGUGAGGCAUCGGGAUUUUGUACGCAACCUCCCUGCCCAUCGUAUUUUCAUAUGGUACCCAAUGCUAAGUGUGAAGGCAAAGUAUGCUGUAAACACGGGAUUUAAGUUGGAAAACAAGAAGACCAAUACGAGGUUGAAUAUCCUGAGAUCGAGGUCUUCCUAUCUGAGACUGGAACAUUUCUGUGUUCCUUUAUAACUGAGAACUCUUUCAACCGCUUCACUGUUCGCCAUUUAUAAUAUGUCUUGGAUCUUUCAUAUCUGUAAUCAGUCUGGAGUGUCCUACUCCUGAGUAAAAUAUUCCUUCUA